GGGAAACUCACCAGGUCCAGACUGGGUAAGGAUGUACAGAUUGACAGCUCUUUACAGAUUCUCAGGGUGGUGGUGCAUGGCCGUUCUUAGUUGGUGGAGUGAUUUGUCUGGUUAAUUCCGUUAACGAUCGAGACCUUAACCUGCUAAAUAGCUGUCAGAAUCACCAGAUUUCGAUGUAGCUUCUUAGAGGGACUCUCUACGUGGAGUAGCGGGAAGUGUGAGGCAAUAA
rnacentral:rRNA from 1 species